UACGUAGGUGGCAGCGUUGAUCCGGAAUUAUUGGGCGUAAAGCGCGCGCAGGUGGUUUCUUAAGUCUGAUGUGAAAGCCCACGGCUCAACCGUGGAGGGUCAUUGGAAACUGGGGAACUUGAGUGCAGAAGAGGAAAGUGGAAUUCCAAGUGUAGCGGUGAAAUUCGUAGAUAUUACGGAAAGAACACCAGUGGCGAAGGCGGCUCACUGGACUGGUAUUGACGCUGAGGUGCGAAAGCGUGGGAGCAACAGGAUUAAGAUACCCGGU
rnacentral:rRNA from 1 species